AGAACCACUCAGAGUUUAUCAAAAUCAGGAAGCCUCCUGCCAACCUGGAAGCUGAUUCUAUGAUGCCAGCUCAAGUCUACCCUGUCAUCUAUCAUCUGGACCCCCAAACUAGACACUGCCAGCCUGCCUCACUAUCAAGACCUUCCAAAUUGAAGCAGUUGCAGCCUAUUCAGUUCUAUAGUAUUCCAGCUUCUCUGAAGACCUCAUCACGGUGAAGGAUGCAACACCCACAGCUCUGUUAAAUGGAACUCACAAGAUUUCUCCACCACUAUCUGAAGUCAAAUUAUAAACUAAUUUGUAUUUAUGUCAGAAAAAUGUCUUCAAAUGUGAGUUUGCCUAAAUACAAUGGAAGGAAAGCUUGAGCAUUCAACUGCACCACUACAGUUCACUACAUGCUUGCUGACUUAGUGAAUAUUUUGGACCACUGAGAGACUAGCAGAAGAAUUUAAAAUUCAGAUAUCAAAAAACAAGACAUUUUAGGCUUCCUGAACAAGGUUUGAAAUCAUUUUGCAUUUGUCUGAAAAUUUAAGAUGAAAAGCACAAUCAAAAAUUGCAAGGGCAAGCUCUCUGUCACAACAAAACUCUGCAUGGAAAGCAAGUGGGAACUAAUGAUUGUUUCUCCUUUACAGCAACAAGGGGAGGUAGGGAGUCCUUUAAGCUUUCUGGCAGGUUUAUUUUGGUGGACUCAAUGCUUUUAGUACAUCAUUCUAGGUGAGGGAAAUUCCUAGUAAAAUAUGUUCAGAAGAUUUUCUUUGAGCACUAAGAAUAUUAUUGCUGGGCACAUGCAAAUGUUUGGAAUUACAUUCUUUUUUAAAAGAUAUAUUUUCUGGUCAUAAUGUAUUUUAAUGAUAAGAAGGAACAGUGAGAAUCAAUCUUGCUGUCUCAGUUCAGAAGCAGCAAUCACAUGACUGUCCAUAUUAAUGGUCAAACUCACCCGUGAGUGUAAACUAACAGUUUUUGUUUGUUUCUUGCCAAAUGAACCAGAUUUAAAUGUAUUGAAUUGGAUGAAAUGAAGUAAUCAAAUGGUUGAAAUAGUACGUUGGCAGUCAAAUAAAGGAUAGUAUUUUCAUUGCAACUGAAGAGUAUUCUGUUAGUUUAAGCUUUUGUAUGUAGUUUUCCCCAAAACUCAAUAAAUAUAAAUAGUAAAUGUAAAUGUAAAUAUUUAAAUAGUGUUAAAAAUGUGAGGGGGUGAAAUUCCAAUGUACUUUAAAAAGUGUUUUAUUGUUAUACAAUUUUGAUUGUUUUUGUUAUAAACUUUUGUCACUUAACAUUUCAUUGGUAUUUCAUAAAUGCUUUUAAAUACUGUAAGAUUGAACAUUUGAAGAUAAGAUAAUCAUAAUGCAAACCCACCUUUUAUUCAUCUUCUAAAAUACAAUACAUUUUCCCUCACAUUAUAUAUAUGCUUUUAUAGACUAUGACAAGGUUUAGGACACUCAUUUGCUGCUUAGGUCAGACAUCUGGAGGCUUCCUGAAUAGCAAUACAGUUUCACUGAACUUCAGAAAAUUCAUAUCUUCUCACUAAGAUGUAAGCAUGGUUGCUUUCCAACACUUGACUUUCCCCCCACAUUUCUCUCUGAAGUGAGGGGAGACCCUGGGGAAAUACCAAGGAUGGCUUCUCCUAGAGCAAAGACCUGAGACCUAUGGCAAGCAUGCUGAACAGCUUCCUUGUCCCUGUUUUCAAGACCAAACACUUGUAUCAAUCCUUCAUAAACUAACCACACUAAUUGUGAGGAAAAUCAAACCCCAAUGAAGAACACUUCAAGGAAAAAUUUAAAAGAACUUUGAUUUUGCCAGAGUAUUAAGAAAAUAAAAUAAAAUUACUCACUGUAGUCUUUCUGAAGAAGUGCUCAAUGUCCCAAGCACAAGGUCCCCACCUGCCAAUUUAACAAAGAUCUCAGGGUGAAGAGAGGCAGGUCUUUAUUAUAAGCAGGAGGCCUCACUCAUUCACUUGCUAAUGUGUGCUCCAAAUUUCUAAGAAGAAACUAUUCUUAAUCUGAGUUCACUCAGAUUUUUAUGAAUUUUUGCUAGGAUCUAUUAUUCCUCACACCAAAAGUAUUCAUCUCGUCAAUAGGAUCAAUGUGAGGACUAAUAUCAAUAUUGAGAUCCAUGCCUCUAGGUAGAGAGCAAUGAAUGUAACAUUUCCAAAUGUAAUACACUUGCAAUAGGUAAACCUUAAUUUUACUUCAAAUCCAUAGAUGAUCAACUAAUUUCACCAUUUACAGCUUUAAAUAGAGCCAAUGAAUACAGGAACAUUAUGAGAAAUAUUUAAA